GAUGAAGAACGCAGCGAAAUGCGAUACGUAAUGUGAAUUGCAGAAUUCAGUGAAUCAUCGAAUCUUUGAACGCAUAUUGCGCUCUUUGGUAUUCCGAAGAGCAUGCUUGUUUGAGUAUCAGUAAACACCUCAACCUCUUCUUGAUUUUUCAAAAGGAGGGUGGACUUGAGCUAUCCCAACAACCUUUACCGGUCGGCGGGCGGCUUGAAAUGCAGGUGCAGCUGGACUUUUAUCUGAGCUAAAAGCAUAUCUAUUUAGUCCUCGUCAAACAGGAUUAUUACUUUUGCUGCAGCUAACAUAAAGGAUAAUUGUCCUCUUUGCUGACUGAUGCAGGAUUUUACGACACUUUAUGUGUUGUUCAACUCGAUCUCAGAUCAAGUAAGACUACCCGCUGAACUUAAGCAUAUCAAUAAGCGGAGGA
rnacentral:misc_RNA from 1 species